UACGAAGGGGGCUAGCGUUGCUCGGAAUCACUGGGCGUAAAGCGCACGUAGGCGGCCUCUUAAGUCCGGGGUGAAAUCCUGGAGCUCAACUCCAGAACUGCCUUUGAUACUGGGAGUCUUGAGUUCGGGAGAGGUGAGUGGAACUGCGAGUGUAGAGGUGAAAUUCGUAGAUAUUCGCAAGAACACCAGUGGCGAAGGCGGCUCACUGGCCCGAUACUGACGCUGAGGUGCGAAAGCGUGGGGAGCAAACAGG
rnacentral:rRNA from 1 species